GAUGAACGCUAGCGGCAGGCUUAACACAUGCAAGUCGAGGGGUAUUGGUUUUCGGACCAAGAGACCGGCGCACGGGUGCGUAACGCGUAUGCAAUCUACCUUUUGCAGAGGGAUAGCCCCAGAGAAAUUUGGAUUAAUACCUCAUAGUAUAGUACUUUGGCAUCAAGGAACUAUUAAAGUCACAACGGCAAAAGAUGAGCAUGCGUCCCAUUAGCUAGUUGGUAAGGUAACGGCUUACCAAGGCUACGAUGGGUAGGGGUUCUGAGAGGGAGAUCCCCCACACUGGUACUGAGACACGGACCAGACUCCUACGGGAGGCAGCAGUGAGGAAUAUUGGACAAUGGGCGCAAGCCCUGAUCCCAGCCAUGCCGCGUGCAGGAAUAAGGUCCCUAUGGAUUGUAAACUGCUUUUAUACAGGAAGAACACACCCUCGUGAGGGUACUUGACGGUACUGUAUGAAUAAGGACCGGCUAACUCCGUGCCAGCAG
rnacentral:rRNA from 1 species